rnacentral:rRNA from 1 species
AUGCUCCCCCUAAUACGCCGCCUCCCCGCCGCUCCUUCCCGCCUAGCCGCCCUCGCACUCCGCCGACCACACCGUCGAGCUGCGGCGGCGGCGUGGCCGACGACAACGACACCCGCGGUGUCCUCCUCCCGUCUCGCGGGCUCGCCGCCUGCAGAGAAUCCAGCGGCGGAUCAGGGGAGCGAGUUGGAGCCCCGACCCGAACCCCUCGACCGGGACUGGGGCUCAACGCUGUCCCGGGCGGACCUUACAGAGGUUGCCGGGAUCCUCCGGCGGUUGCGCGACGAGCAGAUCAGUCUGGGCCUGGGCACCUUGAAUCUGCUGCUGAAGCGAGCGUGCGAAGCAGACGACUUCCUUCUCUUCGCCAAGGUAUUCAGACACUUGCUGCUCUCCAAAGCUGCUCCCGACUUGACUUCCUACAUGUGUGUCGCCAGGGCCAUUGGGGGUUUAGAUGACAAUGAACUGUUACUCAAGUUUGUGAGAGAGGUAUUGGAGAUCACAAAUGGCAGAGACCCCACGGUGGCGAAUCGCAUUGUUUUCGCCACGGGUAGAUACGGGCACCUCGAUAAAUGCUUGAUCAUUUUCGAGGAGCUGAAGAAGGAUAAGAGAUGCUUGGAUGUUGUCACGUUCAACACUGUCUUGGACAUGCUAGGAAAGGUCGGUCGGGUGGACGAAAUGCUUUGUGAGGUGAAGCUGAUGGAGGAACUUGGCAUUUCUCCUGACACCGUGACGUAUAAUACGGUGAUAAACUGCCUGCGUAGGCUUGGAAGAUUUGGUCUGUGCAAAAGCUUUGCAAGAGAGAUGUUUGAGAGAGGCAUCAGUCCUGAUUUGAGAACGUAUACCGCGCUAAUUGAUUGUUUUGGAAGGGCAGGGCAUAUUGCUGAUGCCCUCGAGGCGUUUGAGCAGAUGAAGAAGUCGCACCAACCUUCGAUUUAUGUCUAUCGUGCACUGAUCAGUGACAUGAAAAAAGCUGGGCGGUUUGAGCUAGCACAAAAGCUCACCGAUGAGAUGAAUUCAAGUGCUUCUGAUUUGUUAGGCCCUGAAGAUUUCAAGGAGAAGUCCAAGGGAAGAAGGGUCAGGAAUAGCAGCAGGUAA